CAGUGCUGCAUGGCUGUCGUCAGCUCGUGUCGUGAGAUGUUCGGUUAAGUCCGCUAACGAGCGCAACCCUCGCUGUGUGUUACAAGUGUCACACGGAACUGCCGGUCAUAAACCGGAGGAAGGUGGGGAUGACGUCAAGUCAGCAUGGCCUUUAUAUCCUGGGCUACACACACGCUACAAUGGGAAGGGACAAUAGGUUGCGAAGCCGCGAGGCGGAGCCAAUCCAGCAAAACUUCCCUCAGUUCAGAUUGCAGGCUGCAACCCGCCUGCAUGAAGUUGGAGUUGCUAGUAAACGCAGGUCAGCCAUACUGCGUUGAAUACGUUCCCGGGGCUU
rnacentral:rRNA from 1 species